rnacentral:rRNA from 1 species
GACGAACGCUGGCGGCGUGCCUAACACAUGCAAGUCGAACGGAAAGGCCCUGCUUUUGUGGGGUGUUCGAGUGGCGAACGGGUGAGUUACCCGUGAGUAACCUGCCCUUUACUUUGGGAUAACUUCAGGCAACUGCGGCUAAUACCUGCUAGGAGCUCCUGCUGCAUGGUGGGGGUUGGAAAGUUUCGUGGGUUGGGGAUGGACUCGCGGCUUAUCAGCUUGUUGGUGGGGUAGUGGCUUACCAAGGCUUUGACGGGUAGCCGGCCUGAGAGGGGGACCGGCCACAAUAGGACUGAGAUACGGCCCAGACUCGAACGGGAGGCAACGGUGGAGAGUAUUACACAGUGGGCGGGAGCCUGAUGCAACAACGCCGCGUGCGGGAAGACGGCCAUCGGGUUGUAAACCGCUGUCACCUGAGACGAAGCGCGAGUGACGGUAAUGGGUAAAGAAGCACCGGCUAACUACGUG